CCUACGGGAGGCAGCAGUGAGGAAUCUUGGUCAAUGGGCGCGAGCCUGAACCAGCCACGUAGCGUGAAGGAUGACUGCCCUACGGGUUGUAAACUUCGUUUAUAAAGGAGUAAAGUGAGGCACGUGUGCCUUUUUGUAUGUACUUUAUGAAUUAGGAUCGGCUAACUUCGUGCCAGCAGCCGCGGUAAUACGUAGGAUCCGAGCGUUAUCCGGAUUUAUUGGGUUUAAAGGGAGCGUAGAUGGGUUGUUAAGUCAGUUGUGAAAGUUUGCGGCUCAACCGUAAAAUUGCAAUUGAUACUGGCAGCCUUGAGUACAGUAGAGGUAGGCGGAAUUCGUGGUGUAGCGGUGAAAUGCGUAGAUAUCACGAAGAACUCCGAUUGCGAAGGCAGUUCACUGGACUGCAACUGACACUGAGGCGCGAAAGUGUGGGUAUCAAACAGGAUUAGAUACCCGAGUAGUC
rnacentral:rRNA from 1 species